rnacentral:rRNA from 1 species
UACGUAGGGGGCAAGCGUUAUCCGGAUUUACUGGGUGUAAAGGGAGCGUAGACGGCUGUGCAAGUCUGAAGUGAAAGCCCGUGGCUCAACCGCGGAACUGCUUUGGAAACUGUAUAGCUUGAGUACUGGAGAGGCAGGCGGAAUUCCUAGUGUAGCGGUGAAAUGCAUAGAUAUCACGCAGAACUCCGAUUGCGAAGGCAGCAUACCGGCGCCCGACUGACGCUGAAGCACGAAAGCGUGGGUAUCGAACAGG